AAGUGGGAAACGAUGUGGGAAGGCCCAGACAGCCAGGAUGUUGGCUUAGAAGCAGCCAUCAUUUAAAGAAAGCGUAAUAGCUCACUGGUCGAGUCGGCCUGCGCGGAAGAUGUAACGGGGCUAAACCAUGCACCGAAGCUGCGGCAGCGACGCUUAUGCGUUGUUGGGUAGGGGAGCGUUCUGUAAGCCUGCGAAGGUGUGCUGUGAGGCAUGCUGGAGGUAUCAGAAGUGCGAAUGCUGACAUAAGUAACGAUAAAGCGGGUGAAAAGCCCGCUCGCCGGAAGACCAAGGGUUCCUGUCCAACGUUAAUCGGGGCAGGGUGAGUCGACCCCUAAGGCGAGGCCGAAAGGCGUAGUCGAUGGGAAACAGGUUAAUAUUCCUGUACUUGGUGUUACUGCGAAGGGGGGACGGAGAAGGCUAUGUUGGCCGGGCGACGGUUGUCCCGGUUUAAGCGUGUAGGCUGGUUUUCCAGGCAAAUCCGGAAAAUCAAGGCUGAGGCGUGAUGACGAGGCACUACGGUGCUGAAGCAACAAAUGCCCUGCUUCCAGGAAAAGCCUCUAAGCAUCAGGUAACAUCAAAUCGUACCCCAAACCGACACAGGUGGUCAGGUAGAGAAUACCAAGGCGCUUGAGAGAACUCGGGUGAAGGAACUAGGCAAAAUGGUGCCGUAACUUCGGGAGAAGGCACGCUGAUAUGUAGGUGAAGCGACUUGCUCGUGGAGCUGAAAUCAGUCGAAGAUACCAGCUGGCUGCAACUGUUUAUUAAAAACACAGCACUGUGCAAACACGAAAGUGGACGUAUACGGUGUGACGCCUGCCCGGUGC
rnacentral:rRNA from 1 species